UACUAUAGGGAAACCGUGAUCCAUAUGCUUAAUUGGGCACUUUGUAUAUGGUGAGUUAGUAGUGCAACCGACCUUUAUUUUU
rnacentral:ncRNA from 2 species